rnacentral:rRNA from 1 species
UACAGGGGGUGCAAACGUUGCUCGGAAUUAUUGGGCGUAAAGCGCGCGUAGGCGGCCACUUAAGUCGAAUGUGAAAGCCCCCGGCUCAACUGGGGAGGGUCAUUCGAUACUGUUCGACUCGAAGGCAGGAGAGGGAAGUGGAAUUCCGGGUGUAGUGGUGAAAUGCGUAGAUAUCCGGAGGAACACCAGUGGCGAAGGCGACUUCCUGGCCUGUUCUUGACGCUGAGGCGCGAAAGCUAGGGUAGCAAACGGG